rnacentral:rRNA from 1 species
GACGAACGCUGGCGGCGUGCCUAACACAUGCAAGUCGAACGGGACUUAGUGGAAAGCGGCUUCGGCCAAUGGAAGCUAAGUUUAGUGGCGAACGGGUGAGUAACGCGUGAGGAACCUGCCUUUCAGUGGGGGACAACAGUUGGAAACGACUGCUAAUACCGCAUAACGUGUCUUGGGGGCAUCCCCGGGAUACCAAAGCUUUAUGUGCUGAAAGAUGGCCUCGCGUCUGAUUAGCUAGUUGGUGGGGUAACGGCUCACCAAGGCGACGAUCAGUAGCCGGUCUGGAGGGGAUGAACGGCCACAUUGGGACUGAGAUACGGCCCAG